UGCCCUUCCCUCAAGAAAUCCCAACUAAUAAAAACAGGAAAGAAUCAAGCUCCUUGAAAUCUCCCAAAGAGGCUCAAUUCUCCAUCUUCCCUGAAAAUUCUAAAUCUUCCUUCUGUUGAUCCACUCGGAAGUUUAAAAUUAGUUUUCUUUUUAGUCUCCUCCGGUUCAAUUCUCUCUUCAAAGCACUGUUCACUUUCUCUUGCAUCAAAAUCUAAACUUCUGCAUUUGUAUACAAUUAGGAUUAAUUUCUGCACAUAAAUAAUUGUGAAGAGUUAGAGAAGAUGGCUGGCGCUGCGACAAUGGUGAGCUCGGCCGGUGGGCUAUUGGCGAUGUUGAACGAGACCCACCCGGCGCUUAAGCUACAUGCGCUUUCUAAUCUUAACGCAUUCGUGGACUACUUCUGGCCUGAGAUCUCAACCUCCGUUCCUAUCAUAGAAAGUUUAUAUGAAGAUGAAGAAUUUGACCAUAGACCACUAGCUGCAUUACUUGUUUCCAAGGUUUUCUAUUAUCUAGGUGAACUGAAUGACUCAUUAUCAUAUGCCCUUGGAGCUGGUCAUCUAUUUGAUGUUUCAGAGGAUUCAGACUAUGUUCAUACUCUUCUUGCUAAAGCAAUAGAUGAGUAUGCCAGUCUCAACACUAAGGCAGCUGAGGCACACAAUGAAUCAGCAACAGUGGACCCUAGACUGGAGGCAACUGUUGAGAGAAUGCUUGAUAAAUGUAUCGUGGAUGGAAAAUACCAACAAGCUAUAGGAAUGGCCAUAGAAUGUAGAAGACUAGAUAAACUCGAGGAAGCAAUUACAAGGAGUGAUAAUGCUCAUGCAACUAUUAAUUAUUGCAUUGAUAUCUCUCACUCCUUUGUUAAUCGAAGAGAAUAUCGGCGUGAGGUGCUUCAGCUUCUUGUCAAAGUAUAUCAGCAACUUCCAUCUCCAGAUUACUUGAGCAUUUGUCAGCGGCUAAUGUUUUUGGAUGAGCCAGAGGGUGUUGCAAGCAUACUGGAGAAACUUCUACGAUCAGAAAUUAAGGAGGAUGCACUGCUGGCGUUUCAGAUCGCCUUCGAUCUUGUGGAGAACGAACACCAAGCUUUCCUUCUUAAUGUGAGAAACAGGCUCCCAAGUCCCAAGUCACUACCUUCAGAAUCUGUGCAUUCAGGGUCUCCUGAACCAGGUUCUGUGCAAAGUGAAAACACCACCACAACUGAGGAUGUUCAAAUGACAAAUGGGAGCCAAGUAGAUGGGAAUACAUCAAGUCCUGAUCCUCGUGAGGCAAUUUAUGCUGAAAGGAUAACAAAAAUAAGAGGAAUUUUGUCAGGAGAGAAUUCAAUACAGUUGACUCUGCAAUUCUUAUACAGUCAUAACAAGUCAGAUCUCCUUAUCCUCAAGACAAUAAAGCAAUCUGUUGAAAUGAGAAAUAGUGUCUGUCAUAGUGCAACUAUAUACACUAAUGCAAUUAUGCAUGCUGGAACAACUGUGGAUACAUUUCUUCGGGAGAAUCUGGACUGGUUAAGCAGGGCCACAAAUUGGGCAAAAUUUAGUGCAACAGCAGGAUUGGGUGUUAUUCAUAGAGGCCAUCUGAAGCAGGGGAGAUCGCUCAUGGCCCCUUAUCUGCCGCAGGGUGGGGCUGGUGGCGGGGGUAGUCCUUAUUCUGAAGGUGGAGCAUUAUAUGCUUUGGGUUUGAUUCAUGCUAACCAUGGGGAAGGCAUUAAACAAUUUCUUCGUGAUAGUCUACGAAGUACUAAUGUCGAGGUUAUCCAGCACGGUGCUUGCUUAGGUCUUGGUUUGGCUGCCUUGGGAACUGCUGAUAACGAUGUCUUCGAUGACAUUAAGAACGUGCUUUACACUGACAGUGCUGUAGCUGGUGAAGCUGCUGGUAUUAGUAUGGGUUUAUUGAUGGUUGGAACAGCCAGUGAGAAGGCUGGUGAAAUGCUUGCUUAUGCACACGAGACUCAACAUGAGAAGAUUAUCAGGGGUUUGGCACUAGGGAUAGCUCUUACGGUCUAUGGUAGAGAGGAAGAAGCUGAUACACUUAUUGAGCAAAUGACACGGGAUCAAGACCCUAUUCUACGUUAUGGUGGCAUGUAUGCUUUGGCAUUGGCAUACCAGGGCACAGGUAACAAUAAGGCCAUCCGUCAACUUCUGCAUUUUGCUGUAUCAGAUGUGAGUGACGAUGUAAGGCGGACAGCUGUUCUGGCUCUUGGGUUUGUCUUGUAUGCUGAUCAAGAACAGACUCCUCGAAUUGUUUCCCUGUUAUCCGAGUCCUACAACCCACAUGUUCGAUAUGGUGCAGCACUGGCCGUUGGUAUUUCGUGCGCUGGUACUGGUCUGAGUGAGGCCAUAUCAUUGCUUGAGCCUUUAACAUCAGAUGUUGUUGACUUUGUUCGUCAAGGUGCUCUGAUUGCAAUGGCCAUGGUGAUGAUCCAGAUCAGUGAAGCCAGUGAUUCUCGUGUUGGUGCAUUCAGGCGUCAAUUGGAAAAAAUUAUUCUUGACAAGCAUGAAGACACUAUGAGUAAGAUGGGUGCAAUUUUAGCUUCUGGAAUCCUUGAUGCUGGUGGAAGGAAUGUGACUAUUAAAUUACUUUCAAAGACGAAGCACGAUAAAAUUACCGCAGUUGUUGGUCUUGCUGUGUUCAGUCAAUUUUGGUACUGGUACCCACUUAUAUAUUUCAUUAGCUUGUCAUUUUCACCAACUGCUUUCAUUGGUUUGAACUAUGACCUGAAAGUACCAAGCUUCGAGUUCCUGUCACAUGCAAAACCCUCAUUGUUUGAAUAUCCUAAGCCAACUACUGUACCCACAACCACUUCGGCUGUUAAACUUCCUACUGCAGUUUUAUCAACAUCUGCUAGAGCCAAAGCCAGGGCUAGUAAGAAAGAGCAAGACAAGACUAAUGCCCCAAAGUCAUCUGGAGCAGAGCCGAGUGCGGGAAAGGGGAAAUCAAUUGACAAGGAUGAGGACUCUAUGCAGGUUGAUAGCCCAGCAGAUAAGAAGGCAGAACCUGAGCCAUCUUAUGAAAUCUUGACCAAUCCAGCCAGAGUGGUUCCUGCUCAAGAAAAAUUCAUCAAAUUCCUUGAAGAGAGCAGAUAUGUGCCUGUGAAGUCAGCAGCGUCGGGAUUUGUUCUGUUGAAAGAUCUUCGUCCUAAUGAACCUGAAGUAUUGACGCUCACUGAUGCACCCUCGUCAGCAGCAUCAAAUCCUGGUGGAUCAGUUACCGGGCAACAGAGUUCUGCCUCAGCAAUGGCUGUUGAUGAGGAGCCCGCACCGCCACAGCCAUUCGAAUUCACACCAUGAAUUGUUCAAUUGAAACUACUGUUAUAUAUACGUGAGCUUUUGCGGUUGAGCUUGUGACAUUUCAUAGGAGCCAAAAAUAUUAAUCUGAUCCUAGCUCGGCUGCGAAUCAAUGGAGCUACGAUCAAUGUCUAUUUAAGCCUGUGGCUUUGGAUUUUUAAUUGAAUCGUCGGGUCUAAGCAGGAUUUCGAAUUUCAAUCGAAUCAUGAAGUCUUAAUAUGAUACACAGUUAGGAUCUGUUCGAUAA